AUGAAUUUGCCAUCCAGUCUGCAGCUGAGUCAGAUCCCGUUGUUCCGGAGGGACUUUUCUCUUCUCGAUCAUAGCGCUAUGAUCCCAAUGACACAGGCAGGGCACAGAAUGCACCUGCACAGGCACGUGGCCACCGCCAGAGGGCGAAACGCCGCUUUCAGAACGCGGUGGAUCCGUGGCUCAGCAACUGCGUGGGUCUCAGUGAGGCUCCGGCAACGGUUGCGGCGCAUGCGCAGUGGGAGGGCCGGCUGCCCUCCCAGGGUCCUGGGCUCUGGGAGGGGAGGAAGAGGCCAGGAUGGGAGAGGCAAAAGCAGGAAUCUGUUGAAUGCCACUCUGGCUGACGGCGCCCCUCUACCAGCCACCCCCAAGACCAUCGUCCUCCCUCAGGACAAAUGA
rnacentral:lncRNA from 1 species